rnacentral:rRNA from 1 species
UACGGGGGGGGCAAGCGUUGUUCGGAAUUACUGGGCGUAAAGGGCUCGUAGGUGGCCAACUAAGUCAGACGUGAAAUCCCUCGGCUUAACCGGGGAACUGCGUCUGAUACUGGAUGGCUUGAGUUCAGGAGAGGGAUGCGGAAUUCCAGGUGUAGCGGUGAAAUGCGUAGAUAUCUGGAGGAACACCGGUGGCGAAGGCGGCAUCCUGGACCGACACUGACACUGAGGAGCGAAAGCCAGGGGAGCAAACGGG